rnacentral:rRNA from 1 species
AAUGGUAAACUAUAAUGAGAAGAAAUCUUUUUCCCGAAAAAUAAGAAGAUCUAAAUUUUAAAUUUAUUAGAAAUUAAAUUAUAUUAAUGUAGCAAAUAUUGAUAGUUUAUUUAAAUUUAGGGGUGAAAUACUUUCAAUUCUUAUGAUAUCUGGAUUUUAGUAAAAUGUAUUUAGUACAGACUUAAGGUUGAGAUUGAAAAUGUUAAGAUUUUAAAGAAGAGUAAAAUUAUUGGAAUAUUCUAUUUUAGGAUUAACCUCCUGAUAGAAGUAAAUAUUAAAAUUAAUAUUAAAGAUUUUCUUAAUGUUAACUGCUAAAAGUUUACUUAAUGUUAGGUAGGCUUUAUAUUGUUUAAAUUAGUAGUAUUAAUAACUUUUUAUUAGGAACUCGGCAAACUAAUUAUUCGACUGUUUAACAAAAACAUAGCUUAUUGAAAUUUAUAAUAAGUGAGUCCUGCCCAGUGAGAUUUUUAACGGCCGCAGUACCCUGACUGUGCUAAGGUAGCAUAAUAAAUUGGCUUUUAAUUGGAGUCUUGAAUGAACGGGUCUACCGGAUAAUUACUGUCUCAUGAAAAUUUUUAUGAAAUUACUGAAAAGGUGAAAUUCCUUUGUUUUUUAUAUUAGACGAGAAGACCCUUAGAGUUUUUAUAAUUUGAUUUUCUUCUUUCUUUUUUGUUUGGGCGACAAGUAGCAUUACACCUACUUUAACUUAUUUGCCGAAUCUUUUAUGU